rnacentral:rRNA from 1 species
AUUGAACGCUGGCGGAAUGCUUUACACAUGCAAGUCGAACGGCAGCACGGGGGCAGCCCUGGUGGCGAGUGGCGAACGGGUGAGUAAUACAUCGGAACGUGCCCGGUCGUGGGGGAUAACGUAGCGAAAGUUACGCUAAUACCGCAUACGAUCUGAGGAUGAAAGCGGGGGACCUUCGGGCCUCGCGCGAUCGGAGCGGCCGAUGUCAGAUUAGGUAGUUGGGGGGGUAAAGGCCUACCAAGCCGACGAUCUGUAGCUGGUCUGAGAGGACGACCAGCCACACUGGGACUGAGACACGGCCCAGACUCCUACGGGAGGCAGCAGUGGGGAAUUUUGGACAAUGGGCGCAAGCCUGAUCCAGCCAUUCCGCGUGCAGGACGAAGGCCUUCGGGUUGUAAACUGCUUUUGUACGGAACGAAAAGGCUCUGGCUAAUACCUGGGGCUCAUGACGGUACCGUAAGAAUAAGCACCGGCUAACUACGUG